rnacentral:rRNA from 1 species
AUUGAACGCUGGCGGCAUGCCUUACACAUGCAAGUCGAACGGUAACAGGUCUUCGGAUGCUGACGAGUGGCGAACGGGUGAGUAAUACAUGGGAAUCUGCCUGGUAGUGGGGGACAACGUUUCGAAAGGAACGCUAAUACCGCAUACGCCCUACGGGGGAAAGGGGGGGAUCGCAAGACCUCUCGCUAUCAGAUGAGCCC